rnacentral:rRNA from 1 species
AAUCAACGCUGGCGGCGUGCCUCAGACAUGCAAGUCGAACGCGAAAUUUCCCUUCGGGGAGAAAGUAGAGUGGCGCACGGGUGAGUAGCACGUGGGUAAUUUACCUUCGGGUGGGGAAUAACGUCUCGAAAGAGACGCUAAUACCGCAUGAUGCAGCGGCACCACAUGGCGACAGUUGUUAAAGCGGGGGAUCGCAAGACCUCGCGCCUGAAGAGAAGCCCGCGGCAGAUUAGCUAGUUGGUAAGGUAAUGGCUUACCAAGGCAACGAUCUGUAGCCGGCCUGAGAGGGCGGUCGGCCACACUGACACUGAAUAACGGGUCAGGACUCCUACGGGAGGCAGCAGUCGGGAAUUUUGGGCAAUGGGCGAAAGCCUGACCCAGCAACGCCGCGUGAAGGAUGAAGUAUUUCGGUAUGUAAACUUCACAAGAAUGGGAAG